rnacentral:rRNA from 1 species
UACGUAGGGCGCAAGCGUUAUCCGGAAUUAUUGGGCGUAAAGAGCUCGUAGGCGGUUUGUCGCGUCUGCCGUGAAAGUCCGGGGCUCAACUCCGGAUCUGCGGUGGGUACGGGCAGACUAGAGUGAUGUAGGGGAGACUGGAAUUCCUGGUGUAGCGGUGAAAUGCGCAGAUAUCAGGAGGAACACCGGUGGCGAAGGCGGGUCUCUGGGCCGAUACUGACGCUGAGGAGCGAAAGCGUGGGGAGCGAACCGG